rnacentral:rRNA from 1 species
AUACGUAGGUGGCAAGCGUUGUCCGGAAUUAUUGGGCGUAAAGCGCGCGCAGGCGGUCCCUUAAGUCUGAUGUGAAAGCCCACGGCUCAACCGUGGAGGGUCAUUGGAAACUGGGGGACUUGAGUGCAGGAGAGGGGAGCGGAAUUCCAUGUGUAGCGGUGAAAUGCGUAGAUAUAUGGAGGAACACCAGUGGCGAAGGCGGCUCUCUGGCCUGUAACUGACGCUGAGGCGCGAAAGCGUGGGGAGCGAACAGGAUUAGAUACCCUGGUAGUCCACGCCGUAAACGAUGAGUGCUAAGUGUUAGAGGGUUUCCACCCUUUAGUGCUGCAGCUAACGCAUUAAGCACUCCGCCUGGGGAGUACGGUCGCAAGACUGAA